rnacentral:rRNA from 1 species
AUGUGUGCAGUACUAGUGGUUUGCGUAGAUGUUUCUACUAUCUGCCUAGUACGUGCGUACAUUAUCAAAAUUCAGUAUGUCAUUAGCACUGCCUAUGUCAUGUUCAUGAUUUAUUAUUGGAUUAAGUUAAUCGAACAAUUGCUUAAUUUCUCAUCAAUCCAAAAAUCUAAUAUGUGUAGGCAAUUUUCGAUCCAUGGUUUUGCUGCUACACUGAAACCAGCCCCAUUUACGUGGACGUACUUUAAGCGUUGGCAGACUAAAACCGUCUUAUGGCUCACGGCGAUGAACGUGUUCUGGGUCGCCGGUGUUACUCCCACGGGAACGAUCGCUCUUGAACAGGAGAAGGCGUUCAGGGAGGCCACCGUCGUCUUUGUUGGAUGCGUUCUGAGCGUGAUCGGAGAUAAGCUGGUUGAUGCAUACUUACAUAUGCGGGUUGCCAAGGACUUGCGGGAGGCGCUCGAAUCUAAAUUCGGCGCAACGGAUGCUGGAAGCGAGAUGUAUAUUAUGGAGCAGUUCCACGAUUACAAAAUGGUUGAAAACCGUUCUGUAUUGGAAUAG